CUGAAACCCUGCGUGAGGGAUUGAAGCGGCAUCCUUUUUAGAGGUUUUUUACGCCGAAAAAAAUAUAGAGCGUAAAAGCCCGACCCCGA
rnacentral:sRNA from 1 species